rnacentral:rRNA from 1 species
AGUGAACGCUGGCGGUAGGCCUAACACAUGCAAGUCGAACGGCAGCACAGUAAGAGCUUGCUCUUACGGGUGGCGAGUGGCGGACGGGUGAGGAAUACAUCGGAAUCUACUUUUUUGGGGGGGAUAACGUAGGGAAACUUACGCUAAUACCGCAUACGACCUACGGGUGAAAGCAGGGGAUCUUCGGACCUUGCGCGAUUGAAUGAGCCGAUGUCGGAUUAGCUAGUUGGCGGGGUAAAGGCCCACCAAGGCGACGAUCCGUAGCUGGUCUGAGAGGAUGAUCAGCCACACUGGAACUGAGACACGGUCCAGACUCCUACGGGAGGCAGCAGUGGGGAAUAUUGGACAAUGGGCGCAAGCCUGAUCCAGCCAUACCGCGUGGGUGAAGAAGGCCUUCGGGUUGUAAAGCCCUUUUGUUGGGAAAGAAAAGCAGCAGGUUAAUACCCCGCUGUUCUGACGGUACCCAAAGAAUAAGCACCGGCUAACUUCGUG